CCAUUCAUUGUUUUCUCCUGAGUUUGUUUCUUCAUCUUCCCUAUCACCAUGAUGAUCUUUAUGGUCAGGUCCUUUUUGGUUAUUGUUUACUCAUCUUUCUAGCCUAUUUCUCAACUUUGAACUUUCUGUUAAAGUUUGGCUCUACUAUGGGCAGAAGGUGUGUAGUUAAUCAGAGCAUGGAAGCACUAUCUCAAGCCUCAGGUUUUUCCUCACUACUGUUUUCAGAGCUAGUUCUGAAGAUCUACAAGUUUUUGGUUUUCCAAGGCAGUGUGAUCUGGGAAGAGGUGAUGAGGUACACCUAUAAUUAUGAGAAAUCAUGAACAAGGACUUAGAAAAAGCUGUCAAACUUGAAAAGCUAGGACAUCCCCAACCACCACUCACUGUUCAGGAUACCUGGGAUCAUCUUUCAAGGUGAGACAACAGUCAAGUAUGUACCCUGUAAAGGAGAAGGCACCCCGGACCUGUGACAAACUUCAAGCAACACCAAAGGAUGGAAGAUACACUGACAAAUGGAAAAGAACUUGAACAAAAUUUUUACUGUUCAGCUUUUGGCAUAGAGAUAAAAUCGAUUUGUAAAUGUUCAAAUGGUGUAUAAGCAGAGGGCAUCCACCAAAGGCUUUGCCAUGAAAUGUGUGCUGAUUAAAGGCCUGGAAGGUAGUUUUGAUUUAGAACAGAACUGUCUCCUAUUGUCAUGUCUUCAUCGAGAGGGACUUGGAGACCCAGAGGAACUGCUAGAGCUGGAACUUCAGGAGGUGCUAGAGCUUCCUGAACAGCUUGAUGUGGAAGAAGAGCUGGACCCACUGCUAAAGCCAGCACUGGUACUAGAACCAAAGCUAGAGGUGGAAUUGAAUCGAGACCUGGAAGUACUGCUACCACUGGAGGCACUGUAUCUCUUACGUGCUUUGUCUCUACCACAGUCCUUUUCGCUUAACUCUUUGGUGGCCCCAUUAUCUUUAGACUGGCCCUUUGACUUCUCAUCAGUUCUAUCUUUACAUUUGGUGAGAGGGAGCCAUCUUCCCAGGUUCUCUGCUUCUGCCACCCAUUCCUUCUCCACACUCUCUGGAGACCAAAGAUAACAAUAGAAGAUGGGUCACCAGAUUGUUAAUUUUAUGGUUGUACUGAAUAUUUAAUUGGUCUCCAGGGAUUUAAUUUGUAAAUCCCAAAAAUGAAUUACUAAACUAAAAUGGAAUUCAUGGCGGUUUAUUUUACAAUAGAGGGAAGAUAUUAAGGAAGAGAGAGAGAGUGUGCGCUCUGGCUUCUCUGAGACAGGUAGAAAUUCUAAAGCCCCAGCCAGGAGAAAGUAGCCACAAGAUGAUGGGCCUUUCUCAGAGCCUCAUGCCUCCAGAAAGGGCAAGGAAGGAAGUCAGCCUUUACACUCACCACAUUGUCAGUGCAAUCAGCAUAUUCUUUUAUCAACCUCAACUCCAGCAGACUCUACUCCAAGUGUGUCUCUUUCAAACUCCAAGUGUCCCUCUUCAGUCCAAGUGUCUCUGGGUGUGUCUCGGUUUCCACUUUUAAAGACCUUUUUCUCUUUUGUCACUUCCCCUAAAUUUUUACAUCUACCAAUCACAGCUGAUCCUCCACUCCAGGAUUGCCCACUCUUUUGCACAUGGGUCACAGACCUCCCACUCAAUGUAUGAAAUGGGUGUUCACACCAUUUUUGUGGUUAAAAUUAAAAAAUGGGUAGAUCUCUAUACUCAACUUUAAAUACUGUGCUUACAUUUUGGGGGCUAUAAAUCUAAAAAUAGACAGGGGAUUAUAAUUUAAUCUUCAUACUCAAGGAAGAGCUAAGUGCCUUCAUUGUUAUAAUCAGGAGAGAGCCAAAUCCAAUCUUCACAAUAUGAAUAUAACAAAGUAUUAUGGUGCCAUUUGAAAUUAUGAAAGGAAUUAAUUCAUAAUAACCUUGAAGGACUGGCAUGAAAUGAUACAGAAUGAAGUAAACAGAACCAGAAAAAAACAAUUUUAUAUAACAACCACAGCAUGGUAAAGA
ensembl:lncRNA